rnacentral:lncRNA from 10 species
AAUCAAAUGAAUUAAUACAGAAGAGCAGCUGUAAAUGUGCAGGUAUAGGCUGAAUUCAGGCUGGAUAUCUUAGCUUGGGGUUGUGUUUUAUUUUGUUUUUAUUUGUCUUAUAUUAGUGUGGUGGGGGUUUUUCUUUUUUAAUUUGGGUUUAAAUAUUUCAUAUUCUGAGUAUCUAACAUAAAAGUCUGAGUUUCUCUGUUUUAUUUUCUUUUCUUUUUCUUUUUUUUAAAUAGAAGACAGCUGAUUUACCAUGCAAAAUCAUGGCAAACCAUGAAACGAUGUAGCUGCUGCCUCUUCAAGUGGGGUGGCUACUUUCUGUUUGCCACACUUCCCAUUCUUACUCAUAACUGCCACCUUUC